rnacentral:rRNA from 1 species
GUUUGACUAUGGCUCAGAUUGAACGCUGGCGGGAUGCUUUACACAUGCAAAAGUCGAACGACAGCACGGACUGGCCUCGGUGGCGAUGGCGAACGGGUGAGUAAUGUAUCGGAACGUGCCUAGUAGCGGGGGAUAACUACGCGAAAGCGUAGCUAAUACCGCACAAUGCCCUUUCGGGGGAAAGCGGGGGACCUUCGGGCCUGGCACUAUUAGAGCGGCCGAUAUCGGACGAGCUAGUUGGCGGGGUGCAACGGCUCACCAAGGCGACGAUCCGUAGCUGGUUUGAGAGGACGACCAGCCACACUGGGACUGAGACACGGCCCAGACUCCUACGGGAGGCAGCAGUGGGGAAUUUUGGACAAUGGGGGAAACCCCGAUCCAGCCAUCCCGCGUGUGCGAUGAAGGCCUUCGCCAGGAAGCACUUUGCGGUGAAAGAAACGGUACCGGAUAACACUCCUGCAACUGACGGUACCCGCAGAAUAAGCACCGGCUAACUACGCCAGCAGCCGCGGUAAUACGUAGGGCAAGCGCGACCGGAAUUACUGGGGCGCAAAGUGUGCAGGCGGGUUCGGAAAGAAAGAUGUGAAAUCCCAGAGCUUAACUUUGGAACUGCAUUUUUAACUACCGAGCUAGAGUGUCAGAGGAGGUGGAAUCUGCGCAGCAGUAAAUGCAGAUAUGCGGAGGAACACCGAUGGCGAAGGCAGCCUCCUGGGACAACACCGACGCUCAUGCACUGUAAAGCGUGGGGAGCAAAUGAGAUUAGAUACCGGGUAGUCCACGUCAAACGAUGUCAAAUCAUUGUUGGGCCUUGGCCUUUGGUAGCGCAGUUGGACUGCGUGAAGUUGACCGCCUGGGGAGUACGGUCGCAAGAUUAAAACUCAAAGGAAUCGAUGGGGACCCGCACAAGCGGUGGAUGAUGUGGAUUAAUUCGAUGCAACGCGAAAACCCUACCUACCCGAUACAACCAAACUGAAGAGAUUUGGGAGUGCUCGCAAGAGAACUGAACACAGGUGCUGCAUGGCUGCCGUCAGCUCGUGUGUCGUGAGAUGUUGGGUUAAGUCCCGCAACGAGCGCAAACUCUGUCAUUAGUUGCUACGAAAGGGCACUCUAAUGUGAGACUGUUGGCACAAACCGAGAAGGUAGAUGACGUCGGAAAGUCCUCAUGGCCCUUAUGGGUAGGGCUUCACACGUCAUACAAUGGCCCGGACAGAGGGUCGCCAACCCAAGCAGGGGAGCUAACCCUACAGAAACCCGAUCGUAGUCCGUGGAUCGCAGUCUGCAACUCGACUCUGCGUGAAGUCGGAAUCGUGGCUAGUAACUCCGCAGAUCAGCAUGUCGCGGUGAAUACGUUCCCGGGUCUUGGUACACACCGCUUCGCCGCCACCAUGUAUGUCACCGGUAGAAGUUACCUUCCAAUCCGCAUAGGAGGUUGAUUACCACACACGGCAGAUCUAUGAUCAGUGAAGUCGUAACAAGGCAA